ACAACACUGCGAAAGUGGUGCUAAUACCGAAUGUUGUAUCGAGAAUACAUAUUUUUGAUACUAAAGAUGGCCUCUAUUUAUAAGCUAUCACUAGAAGAUGGGUCUGCGUCUGAUUAGCUAGUUGGUGAGGUAAUGGCUCACCAAGGCGACGAUCAGUAGCCGGUCUGAGAGGAUGAACGGCCACACUGGGACUGAGACACGGCCCAG
rnacentral:rRNA from 1 species